ACAACAGGAAAACGUAUUUACAGUAUAUUUACAAGGCGAUCAAGCGUCAACCAUAUGGCGGAGAGCUCGCGCCCGAUCAUCAGCGUCUCCUUCAUCGAUGUUGGCGUGAAUCAUAUCGUGACAAUAUGGAUCCUAGGUGUUGCCUUGACCCGGUGCCAUAGAGCGAAUUGGAUACGACAACAUGAGCCCCAGCAUGGAGAUGCAUGCAGAGGAGCCUGCAUUUGUGUGUGCCGGUAUGAAAUAGUUUGCUGACUGGCAUCUUUUUUCGUCAUGAAGUAAUGACGCUGCUCAAGGGGAGAGUACAUUCCGUGCUGGUGUCUUCUCGUCUCCCUCCAUUUAAGGUGACCGCCACCAUACACCCCCACCAACGCGGCAUGAAUCUUCUUGGCAUUUUGUCCCUUGAAAUGCAGAACGCGGAUCACUGCUCUUGCAUCAAAUCAACUUUCCCAAUGGGCUCUGCCAUUUUUGUUGUGUUGCCCUUGCAGCAUACUACGAUACAGUUAUAUAGAACAGAAUUUUUGUGUCCCGCUAAAGCUAGAGAGAUGUGCGCUCAUUCUGAUGGCUGUCGUGCAUGCUUGUUUUGAAUUUAUGGUGUCCGUAAUACAAACUUUAUGAAUGCCUCUCUUAAAAUUGUCUUUAAUGUCCCUUUAAUACGCGAGGAAGACAGCGUAGACUCCACACCGAAGACGAGGCUGCAAAGUAAUGUCACUUGCUGUAAGGCUCCUCUCAAAAUAUACACCAACAGCGGCCUUAUGAUAAGACGCUUACCAUAUUGUAAUUAGCCAAGUGUGGCAAGCUUUUGUCGCAAACACCAGUGACCACAGUGGUGCUGUUACAGUGUCACGCCUUGGAGAUAGAACCACCUGGUUGGUGUCCAAGCUUUUGGUGUUAGCUACAGGUGUUGUUUUUUGUGCAGGCAGUGGUAUUCUGCUCAGCUGCCAUAGCAGUUUCUAAGCUUUCUCGGUUUUAUGCCCGGCUCCUGAUGUGCCACAGUCAUUUAUAGAGAUUACUUCAUUCCACUUAGCAGUGUCAGUGUUCUGCACUUAUGCUAGAUCUAAAUAAGCCUUCCAGUUUUGGGAGGAAUCAGUUUUGUUGGUUGAACAAAGGUUUUAAUGCAACUGUUAAGUGUUACAAUAAAUCUCACAAUAUAUCAAGUGUUUGGUUUCAUUCCAAGCGGUUUACUUUCAUUGCAUUGUAGUUUGCCCAAAGAGAUUGUCAGAGCUGGGCUAGCAUCUCAAGCUCAUGGAGAUUCUUCAAUGGUGUUCCUCUAGCAGGGUAAUAAAUUUAGUGGGGUUUAAUGAACCAAGGCUGCACUUCAGCUUUGAGAGAGGCCACAGUUGUGGGCUCUAGACUCAAUGUUAGCCACUGACAGUUUUUAAUGCAUGGUUAGGCGACUUCACUUUCCUGAGCAGGCCAUGCUGGACGUGCAAUAUAUUGAUCCUUUUUUUUUUUUGUCUUGGUGUACGUGCAACUCGGAAUAACUGGACUCUGCAUUUCCAACGCGAAAAUUGUUCUGGUACUUUUUCUCUUGCCUGUGGCAUGCCUCCUUCCGCUUAUUACAUGUACAUGAAUGACCUGGCAUCAUCUAGAAUUAGUUAUCUAAAAUAUGGGCUUACAGCUGUGACACGGUAAAUGGCACUGUUCUAACUUCGUUGCAGGUGAAAGGCAUCUCCAGAGGUACAAGUUUGAAGUACUGCACGUGCUGACCAGCUGCAGGCCACCUAGGAAUGAGGGGG